AGCCACCUUGGUUGUUGAUG
rnacentral:siRNA from 1 species